rnacentral:rRNA from 1 species
AACGAACGCUGGCGGCAUGCCUAACACAUGCAAGUCGAACGAGACCUUCGGGUCUAGUGGCGCACGGGUGCGUAACGCGUGGGAACCUGCCCUUAGGUUCGGAAUAACUCCCCGAAAGGGGUGCUAAUACCGGAUAAUGUCUUCGGACCAAAGAUUUAUCGCUUUUGGAUGGGCCCGCGUUGGAUUAGCUAGUUGGUAGGGUAAUAGCCUACCAAGGCGACGAUCCAUAGCUGGUCUGAGAGGAUGAUCAUCCACACUGGGACUGAGACACGGCCCAGACUCCUACGGGAGGCAGCAGUGGGGAAUAUUGGACAAUGGGCGAAAGCCUGAUCCAGCAAUGCCGCGUGAGUGAUGAAGGCCUUAGUGUUGUAAAGCUCUUUUACCCGGGAUGAUAAUGACAGUACCGGGAGAAUAAGCACCGGCUAACUCCGUG